GUUUAUGGCCAUGCCACCCCAAACACGACCAAUCUUGUCUAAUCUUGGUAGCUAAGCAAGGUCGGGCCUAGUUAGUACUUUGAUGGGAGACCACCUAGGAAUACCAGGUGCAGUACGUU
rnacentral:rRNA from 1 species